rnacentral:rRNA from 1 species
UGGGGGAUAUUGCACAAUGGGGGGAAACCCUGAUGCAGCGACGCCGCGUGAGGGAAGACGGUCCUCUGGAUUGUAAACCUCUGUCCUUGGUGAAGAAACAUGACGGUAGCCAUGGAGGAAGCCACGGCUAACUACGUGCCAGCAGCCGCGGUAAUACGUAGGUGGCAAGCGUUGUCCGGAUUUACUGGGUGUAAAGGGAGCGCAGGCGGGAAGGCAAGUCAGCUGUGAAAACUAUGGGCUUAACCCAUAGACUGCAGUUGAAACUGUUUUUCUUGAGUGGAGUAGAGGUAAGCGGAAUUCCGAGUGUAGCGGUGAAAUGCGUAGAGAUUCGGAGGAACACCAGUGGCGAAGGCGGCUUACUGGGCUCUAACUGACGCCGAGGCUCGAAAGUGUGGGGAGCAAACAGGAUUAGAUACCCUGGUAGU